CUUCCCUUCCCUUCCCUUCCCUUCCCUUCCCUUCCCUCUUUCCUUUCUCCCUCCACCCCUCUCUUCCAACUCUCUGCCUGUCUCCUGAUAUUCUAGGCCCAGGAUUUUCACCUAGCAUCCCUAUUCCUCUUGGUCAUUUCCCUCCCCUCUCCCCUUCCUUUCCCUUCCUCUCCCAGAUCACAGUGAGCAGGAGGAGCUCUGGGACACAGCAGGGAUAUUCCUUCCUUCCCAGGCAGCCUCUGGCAGGCAGAGCAAAUUUCCCAGCAGAACUUCAAACAUCCUUUGUCUGUCUCCCUUUGGAGAGUGUUUCCAGGAACCAGCAGCUCUGUGUACCCCAGUCAUUUGCAUUCUGUGCUGACUUUGAGCUUUGGGGAAAGAAAAAAAAAAGGUUACUGUAUUUUUGUUGAUCUUACAUUUGAGGCAUAUUCAGCACUUUCUUGUUCACUGGAAUUGGAACAGUUGUUGAUUUUUAAUUGGGAUGUGUUAUUAUUCUGGCCAUUAAACCAGCACGGCAAAAUCAAGUGUUUUAAAGCUGGAGGUGAACCAUUUCUACAGGUGAGAAAUGAAAUCUGUGCAUUCCUGGGCAUUCUGGCUCUCUGCUCACACCAAGGCAGCCCUCUCGCUGAAGGUUUAACUGGAUGCCUAAGCCACAUGCCAAGGUUUUUGCUCAGGGACUGUAUCAGCAAAAAUGUCUCAGAAUUUAAUUUGGGCAAAUACUGUCCAGUAUUUGUUUAGGAGUUCUGUUUUCUGCCCCUUUGGAAAGCUCAUGCAUGAGAAGGGCACGGGUAGAGUCAGGAUAAAUUAUAUUAAAGUGGGAGUAGGAGUCAUGGAAACUUGCCCUUUAGAUGUAUCUUGAUCUUGGACCUAAUAACCUUCUGUAUCAUAUGCAGACACUCACCAAAGAAGCUCUGAUUAGUUUUGCAUGCUUAAAACUCAGCUUUACUAUCCCUAAAUUGGCAGAUUUUGAGAUCUGUGCCCUGUGUACAGUAGCUAAGCUGUAAACAACAAGAGCAUUUGCUCCAUUGUUUCUGAUGGGAUGUCAUCCAAGGGAAAACAGGGAUUGUCUUCAACAAUUUGAAGCUUGUGUAGGCAGACAAUACACUGUUUUUGCCUGUGGGCAGCAUGAACAUGCCUCUACUUCAGCCCAAGAAAGCAGCUGAGAGGGACAUGAAUUCAAAAUCCACACAUGCUGCCGAGAGGAUGGGACAGGCCCUGGGCAGCUGGGAAUGUUGGGGGAUAAAAAGGCACUAAAAUAAGGGCAAAGAUUUUUGUCCUAAACAGUAAAGAUUUUUUUUUCCUAAAGAGCUUUACAGGCAUUCUUGGAAAGAAGCCUGCUAAAAGCAUUGCCUUACUCAGGCUGGGCUUUCCAUCAAGUGACUUUCACAUUUAGGAGGGAAUUCUUCCCUGUGAGAGUAGUGAGGCCCUGGCACAGCUUUCCCAGAGAAGCUGUGGCUGCCCCUGGAUUCCUGGAAGUGUCCAAGGCCAGUAUGGAUGGGGCUUGGAGCAAACUGGGAUAGUGGAAGGUGUCCCUGCACAUGGCAAGGGUGGAACAGGAUGAUGCUUAAGGUCCCUUCUAACCCAAAUCAUUCAGGGAUUUUAUUAUAAAUGCAUUUUCAUGAAGAGCAGCACAAGAUAAAAGGAGGCCUGAACCCAUCCAUGAGGAAACAAUAUGAAGUAAAGUUGAAAUUAAAACAGUAAUUUGAGACAGGAAGAUCUAGGAAUGGCUGAACCUAAUCCCAUAUGAGAGCAGAGUGGUGAAUUCUUCACCUUGGUUACCAAGACAUGACCCCCAUGGCUAUGCAAUCCCGUGUUUCCUCUCCUGCCCACAUAAAUAUGCUGUCAUCAAAUACAAUGUGCAUUGUGCAACUCCAGAAAGCAGAAUUUGGGACUUCCCUAAUCCUACUGACGUGUGGUCACGGGUGGCACAGACUGUCCAAGCUGCAGAGGAAAUAUUCCCGUAACAAACUUUGCAAUAAUGGAGGUUUGUUUGAUGUUCCUGUUGUGAAGACAAUCCACUGUGAGCACAUUAAUAAAGAAAAAAAAAUCUUAAAAAGAGUCUGCCCAGCAGCUACUUUUUUUUUUUUUUUUUUUUUUUUUUUUACAUAAGCAUUUAUGUGGGAGGAGAACAGGAGAUUUGAAAUGUACCUGGCAGCCUGCUGAGGCAUAGGUAUGACCCACGUUAUGUUAUAGAUCUUAAUUACUUAUGAUGGUUAACCGACAGGAGCAGCAGAAAACCCUGAAACAAAGGGAGGCCGAGGCUCCCUCUUCCCUCCAGGGCAUUUGGAGUGUCUGGAAAAGUGCUCUGGUGCUGCCCUUUACCCACACACA